rnacentral:lncRNA from 1 species
UUUCUCUCCUGUGAGAGAGACACGUCAUUAAGUAGAGAUUUCUUGGCUUGACACGUGUUCAAUCUGUCACGAAUUUUGUACGUCAAUUGGUUUUUAGUGGGCUUUCUCAGUGAUCUUCUGUUAUUCUGUUUUGUAAAAGCUCCAGCCCGAAAGAAAGCUCCAGCCUUCUCCGCCAGAGACGAGAGCGAAAUUAGGGUUAGUCCUCUUCUUCCAUCUCCAGACCAACAAUGGAGAAUUAGCAUGCCCUUGAACACCAUCUUCAAGCAAGACAUGAUCUCAUUCAAUGAUACUCAUCCAUCUUCUAGGCGGUGUUUCUUUACCUAUAAAAGGGUAAGUCUUCUCCCCUUGAACACCAUCUUAACAGUCUGUGAUAAUUAAAAAAAAAAAAUUCCAGUAUCCCAUUCUUAAAAUCCCAUGAUCAUAUUAGAUUUCAAUUAUUUUUGGCGUUCAGAUUCGUAUAUAGAUCUUCAUUGAGCCUCUUUUGAAUGAGAUAUUUUAAGUCCGUUUGGUGAAUCCUUUCUUUUCACAUUUGUUGAUCCAAAAUUUACCGCAGAUGUACCGUUUAAUCAAUGAAAGAACAACGAGAUGAUUAGCCCAUGCAUUCACCAUGAAAUCUGUGGAGUUUUGGUUCUGCUUGCUGUUCUAACAUCAGGUAUAGGUGAUCUGAUUUGAUCUCAUUGGUAUUCUCUAUUUUCCACAAUCCUGUACCUUUGCAAUCAGUCAAUCUGAUCUCCUUUUCUUUAUGUUUGAAGAAAGAGAGUAAGUGCUUGAACGGAAGGAGUAAGAAUUGGAUGUACGAUCAUAACAAGCUGAGAAUAUAAAGAGAUCCAGGGAUGAAGUUGAGCUCUCAUUGCUGGCUGAGAAGGAUAGAGAUGACAAUCCUACUAGAAUUGGAUGUACGAUCAUAUCAUACUGUUUUAAUUUUUCCUUAAACCAUAAAAUCAUAUAUGGAAAUGGAACAAAAAAUUCCAGAGAUAAAACUGGGUGUGAAAUGUUUCCAAUAGAAAAACAUACUGCUCUCUUCUCUUUCCAAAAAGUUUUUUAUAAACAUAACUCAAAGCUUAACCGUCCAAUUUUUUUUUUUAUAAAAAACAUGAGGGUUAUGUUGAUAAAUUAGACCAAGCUUAUUAGCAGAUUUAGUUUAUCUGGUAACCAACUAAGAUUCAUAUCUAUACAAGUUUAUCAUGAUACACUCACACUCACUCAAUCUGCACAAUUUACAUCAUUUCAACAUAUACCCUACGUUAAAAGCUAAAUUAGACAGAAUUGUGGUUCAAUGAAAAUCUGAAACAAAGUAUAAAUGAGAGGAUAUGUUAAGAGGUCCGACAAUUGGUCCGGUUUGUUUCUGUUGGAAACAAGUUGUGGUUUAUAAUCUAAGCAAAAGCUAAUGUCUUACAAAUCUAUAGUCCAAACAAAAACUAUCCAUUUACAAAUGAUAGUUAGUACCAGUCCCAUAUUACUUCAAUAUAAUGACGCCAUCUAUUGAUUUAUUACAACUGAUGUGUCCAAACGGUAAAAUAAAACACUCACAUAAAGAUAUGAUUAAACUAAAACUAGACGUUACUUCAAUAAAGCUUUCAAUAACGUUACUUCAAUAAAGCUCUCAAUAAUGGUCAUUAUAAGUGAAAUUUACUGAAAUACAUAACGUAAAAAAUACUUAGAGAAACAAAAUAUAUACAUAAAAAUAAGUUAAAAAAUAUAAUAUAAUUAAAUCCAAAAACAUAAUGCUUAUUUUACAUUAAAUUCAACUGAAGAAAACUUACAAAAUAUUAAGGGAAACCACGAAAAAUACAUAAUAAGAAUAUAUAUUUUUUAAAAUAAUCUUAAAAUAACAAAAUAUAACAAAAAUGAAAAAGCCAAAAAAAAAAUAUUUUCAUGAUAAUACAAAGCAUAAGAAGUUUAUAUUUGCUACAAAUACAUAGAAACGUAACACAAAACAAUAUAACAAAUAACUAUAUAAAAACAAAAAUAAACAUAUGCGCUAAAAAAUAAAAGAGAACAAUACCACCAAAAUAAAUAGAACAUGGUUUCAUUAUAACAGUCUCAACAGUUACGUUGAAUUAUGAAAUUUAGUUUAUCAUAACGAGAUUGAAUUCAAUUAUCAUUUUUAAUCGAAAGUAUGGUCAAGAAUACUGAAUCACAUAAAAUAUAAAAUCAAACACUUUCAAAUAAAAUCUGAAGUUCAAUAAAAUACACAAAUUUUAUGCACUUAGCGCAACUAAUAUUGAAACCCUUUAAAUUCUUAAUAUAUAUUAACCCAACACUUCUUCUCCAAUUCAAACUUUUUUCUCAAAUCCAGUUCACCAGUAUUGUAUACUAUAAAUCAUCUUCGGAAGCAUACACAAUUAAAUCAUAUCACAAAUUCAGCCAUGUUUGGUUCGAAGGUGAGAUAUGGGAACAAAAGUAAAAAUAAUGAAUAAAGUGAAACACGAUCUAAACUUAUUUAAAUAUCGUAUCUUGGUUCUCUAUAUUGUUUUGUUCUAAGAGAAAAACAUCAGUUAUAUAUAUAAAUAUGUUUCUCUCCUGUGAGAGAGACACGUCAUUAAGUAGAGAUUUCUUGGCUUGACACGUGUUCAAUCUGUCACGAAUUUUGUACGUCAAUUGGUUUUUAGUGGGCUUUCUCAGUGAUCUUCUGUUAUUCUGUUUUGUAAAAGCUCCAGCCCGAAAGAAAGCUCCAGCCUUCUCCGCCAGAGACGAGAGCGAAAUUAGGGUUAGUCCUCUUCUUCCAUCUCCAGACCAACAAUGGAGAAUUAGCAUGCCCUUGAACACCAUCUUCAAGCAAGACAUGAUCUCAUUCAAUGAUACUCAUCCAUCUUCUAGGCGGUGUUUCUUUACCUAUAAAAGGGUAAGUCUUCUCCCCUUGAACACCAUCUUAACAGUCUGUGAUAAUUAAAAAAAAAAAAUUCCAGUAUCCCAUUCUUAAAAUCCCAUGAUCAUAUUAGAUUUCAAUUAUUUUUGGCGUUCAGAUUCGUAUAUAGAUCUUCAUUGAGCCUCUUUUGAAUGAGAUAUUUUAAGUCCGUUUGGUGAAUCCUUUCUUUUCACAUUUGUUGAUCCAAAAUUUACCGCAGAUGUACCGUUUAAUCAAUGAAAGAACAACGAGAUGAUUAGCCCAUGCAUUCACCAUGAAAUCUGUGGAGUUUUG